rnacentral:rRNA from 1 species
UACGAAGGGGGCUAGCGUUGUUCGGAUUUACUGGGCGUAAAGCGCACGUAGGCGUAUCGAUCAGUCAGGGGUGAAAUCCCAGAGCUCAACUCUGGAACUGCCUUUGAUACUGUCGAUCUGGAGUAUGGAAGAGGUGAGUGGAAUUCCGAGUGUAGAGGUGAAAUUCGUAGAUAUUCGGAGGAACACCAGUGGCGAAGGCGGCUCACUGGUCCAUUACUGACGCUGAGGUGCGAAAGCGUGGGGAGCAAACAGG